rnacentral:rRNA from 1 species
AUAACUGUGGUAAUUCUAGAGCUAAUACAUGCACCAAAGCUCCGACUAACGGACGAGCGCAUCUAUUAGACUAAAACCAAUCGGCGUGUGCUCGCACACACCGUCUUUUGGUGACUCUGAAUAGCUAUGGCUGAUCGCAUGGUCUUGUACCGGCGACGUAUCUAUCAAGUGUCUGCCUUAUCAACUUUCGAUGGUAGUUUAUGUGCCUACCAUGGUUGUAACGGGUAACGGAGAAUAAGGGUUCGACUCCGGAGAGGGAGCCUGAGAAACGGCUACCACAUCCAAGGAAGGCAGCAGGCGCGCAAAUUACCCACUCUCGGCAUGAGGAGGUAGUGACGAAAAAUAACGAGACCGUUCUCUUCGAGGCCGGUUAUCGGAAUGGGUACAAUUUAAACCCGUUAACGAGGAUCUAUGAGAGGGCAAGUCUGGUGCCAGCAGCCGCGGUAAUUCCAGCUCUCAAAGUGUAUAUCGUCAUUGCUGCGGUUAAAAAGCUCGUAGUUGGAUCUGCGCCUCAGGACCCGGUCCGUCCAUUGGACGUGAACUGGGCGCCUGGGCUAUACACUGUCGGUUUUCGCAGCGUUUCUUUCAUCGGACGCGCUGUGUGGCCGGCGAGUUUACCUUGAAAAAAUUAGAGUGCUCAAAGCGGGCCCACGCCUGAAUACUCGUGCAUGGAAUAAUGGAAUAGGAUCUCGGUUCUAUUUUGUUGGUUUUCUCAACUGAGAUAAUGGUUAAGAGGGACAGACGGGGGCAUUCGUAUCGCUGCGUGAGAGGUGAAAUUCUUGGACCGUAGCGAGACGCCCGACUGCGAAAGCAUUUGCCAAGAAUGUCUUCAUUAAUCAAGAACGAAAGUCAGAGGUUCGAAGGCGAUCAGAUACCGCCCUAGUUCUGACCGUAAACGAUACCAACCAGCGUUCCGUCGGUGGUAAUUACGCCUUGACGGGCAGCUUCCCGGAAACGAAAGUUUUUCGGUUCCGGGGGAAGUAUGGUUGCAAAGC